rnacentral:rRNA from 1 species
UGGGGAAUAUUGGACAAUGGGCGAAAGCCUGAUGCAGCCAUGCCGCGUGUAUGAAGAAGGCCUUCGGGUUGUAAAGUACUUUCAGCGAGGAGGAAGGCGGUAAGGUUAAUAACCUUAUCGAUUGACGUUACUCGCAGAAGAAGCACCGGCUAACUCCGUGCCAGCAGCCGCGGUAAUACGGAGGGUGCAAGCGUUAAUCGGAAUUACUGGGCGUAAAGCGCACGCAGGCGGUCUGUCAAGUCGGAUGUGAAAUCCCCGGGCUCAACCUGGGAACUGCAUUCGAAACUGGCAGGCUAGAGUCUUGUAGAGGGGGGUAGAAUUCCAGGUGUAGCGGUGAAAUGCGUAGAGAUCUGGAGGAAUACCGGUGGCGAAGGCGGCCCCCUGGACAAAGACUGACGCUCAGGUGCGAAAGCGUGGGGAGCAAACA